CCCUUCCAGCAGCGCCCAGCGGCUCCGUCCCUGGACUGCGCCUCCCCGGCGGGGUCUAUCCUCCGCCCCACUCGUGUCCUGGCUCUCUUGACCUCACCUCCACUGAGAUCAUAGCUGGUAAGACCAAAGAAGGUCCCAGCCGUCCCAGUGCCCGGUCCCGCUCUGACCACCCCGUGUGUCCCCCCGUCCCCCAGCUGUGUGUGUGGGAAGCACCUACCGUGAUGGGCUCCUGACUUGCUCCCCGACUUCCUCCUGCCAGCCUUCACCACACCUUCCUGAUGCGAGUGUUCCGAGGAGGGCCCCUCUGCUAUGCCCUGAAUUGCGUCCCCUCAAAAUGCAAGCUGCAGACGCGCUAGACAGCGGCCAGCUCUAAGCCAACCGCAGAGCCCCACCGAGAGCCCCGCCAGCACCCUGAGUUCGGACUCCCAGGCUGCACCUGUGGGAAGCAAACUGUUGCAGUGAUCCUGCCUGCAGCGUUUGGACAGAGCAGCCCCGAGUGUAAGUCCCAGCUCCGGUCACACUGUCUCCCCCGUUGUCGCCUCAGGUCCCUCAGCAGCAGGGAUGGAAGCCGGUGCCAGGACUGGCAUGCCCCCUCCCCGUAUCUCCCUGUGGAUCUGCACAGCCAGAGGCUUCCCUGCAGCAUGGUGCCUGUCCCCAUGAGACUGGGGUCCCCUGAGCCUGCCCGCACCAGGGACAGUGCCCUACUUGCAGAGCUGAGGUUAAAGCCUGGGAGCUGCCCUCACCUACCUCCUCACCCCCCACACCCAGCCUUCAGGCCCCUGCCCUAGCCAAGCCUGUCACUUCUCACCAGGAGAAUGACCCUCACCCACCCCAUCCCAUCAGGCCGGGAGCCCCAGAGGCCCAGAUCCUGCCGUCAGGUUCCUUCCGACCUGCAGGGCCUUCCUGGUCCUCGCCUGCCCUCCCCUUCACCAGCGCUGGCUCAGCACGACGCCUCAACACACCCAGCUUGCUGCCACCUCAGGGCCUUUGCACAGACUAACUCUCAGCUCAACCCCAGCCUUGUGGCUCCCUCACUUGGGUCCAGCCCUGCUCCGACACCACUUUCUCGCGGCUGCACUUCCUUCAUAUCGGUCCCCCAGCACCUUCCACUCCCGACAGGCUGCUGCCCUUGGAAGCAGGGCUUACCCCACUUUCCAGGCUCUUGGCACAAGUUGACGGAGUGAAGCUCCACGGGCCCUGGCGCUUCUCACCUCUUUCGGCAUCCUUGAACUUGAUGGUUCUCCUCCGGGAUGGCCGGGGGCUAGCAGCCACCUCAGCUAGGAUCCCUGAGCUGCAGAAGCCCAGGCUGCUGCCCCGGUUCCGAAGCACCAGCUUCAGCUCCUGGUUUUCCUGGAUGAGCUGCACCAGCCGCCGCAGCUCCUCGUUCUCCUGCGCCAGCCGCUGGAUCUCCUGCCGCAGGCCCUCGUAGCUGCUCAGGAGGGACAUGCCCGGCAUCAGGGGCGGCAGCUGCCAGCAGCUGGCGGGCUGGCCGGGGACAGUGGACCGGACCCCGUCAUUGUGAGAGAGCUCAUGUGAACCUGCCUUUCUCCGACUGGCUGACUUCGCUCCACGCGGGACUCUCCAGUUCCGUCCA